rnacentral:rRNA from 1 species
CACGUAGGGGGCAAGCGUUGUCCGGAUUUAUUGGGCGUAAAGAGCUCGUAGGCGGUUCGGUAAGUCGUGUGUGAAACCUCCAGGCUCAACCUGGAGAUGCCACCUGAUACUGCUGUGACUCGAGUCCGGUAGGGGAGCGUGGAAUUCCUGGUGUAGCGGUGAAAUGCGCAGAUAUCAGGAGGAACACCAGCGGCGAAGGCGGCGCUCUGGGCCGGAACUGACGCUGAGGAGCGAAAGCGUGGGUAGCAAACAGG